CCUACGGGAGGCUGCAGUGGGGAAUAUUGCACAAUGGGCGCAAGCCUGAUGCAGCCAUGCCGCGUGUGUGAAGAAGGCCUUCGGGUUGUAAAGCACUUUCAGCGGGGAGGAAGGCGUUAAGGUUAAUAACCUUGGCGAUUGACGUUACCCGCAGAAGAAGCACUGGCUAACUCCGUGCCAGCAGCCGCGGUAAUACGGAGGGCGCAAGCGUUAAUCGGAAUUACUGGGCGUAAAGCGCACGCAGGCGGUCUGUCAAGUCGGAUGUGAAAUCCCCGGGCUCAACCUGGGAACUGCAUUCGAAACUGGCAGGCUAGAGUCUUGUAGAGGGGGGUAGAAUUCCAGGUGUAGCGGUGAAAUGCGUAGAGAUCUGGAGGAAUACCGGUGGCGAAGGCGGCCCCCUGGACAAAGACUGACGCUCAGGUGCGAAAGCGUGGGGAGCAAACAGGAUUAGAUACCCGGGUAGUC
rnacentral:rRNA from 1 species